rnacentral:rRNA from 1 species
AAUCUAACCUAAGGUGGGGGAUAACCCCGGGAAACUGGGGAUAAUACCCCAUAGACUAUGGGUGCUGGAAUGCUCUGUAGUUGAAAGGUCCGCCGCCAUAGGAUGAGUCUGCGGCCGAUUAGGUUGUUGUUGGGGUAACGGCCCAACAAGCCUGUAAUCGGUACGGGUUGUGGGAGCAAGAGCCCGGAGAUGGAUUCUGAGACACGAAUCCAGGCCCUACGGGGCGCAGCAGGCGCGAAAACUUUACAAUGCGGGAAACCGUGAUAAGGGAACUCCGAGUGCCCGUAAAAUCGGGCUGUCCACCAGUGCAAAUAACUGGUGAAGAAAGGGCCGGGCAAGACCGGUGCCAGCCGCCGCGGUAAUACCGGCGGCUCGAGUGGUGGCCACUAUUACUGGGCUUAAAGCGUUCGUAGCUGGUCUGUUAAGUCUCUGGGGAAAUCUACUGGCUUAACCAAUAGGCAUCUCAGGGAUACUGGCAGACUAG